GACGAACGCUGGCGGCGUGCUUAACACAUGCAAGUCGAACGGAAAGGCCCUGCUUUUGUGGGGUGCUCGAGUGGCGAACGGGUGAGUAACACGUGAGUAACCUGCCCUUGACUUUGGGAUAACUUCAGGAAACUGGGGCUAAUACCGGAUAGGAGCUCCUGCUGCAUGGGGGGGGUUGGAAAGUUUCGGCGGUUGGGGAUGGACUCGCGGCUUAUCAGCUUGUUGGUGGGGUAGUGGCUUACCAAGGCUUUGACGGGUAGCCGGCCUGAGAGGGUGGCCGCCCACAUUGGGCCUGCGAUACGGCCCAGACUCCUACGGGAGGCAGCAGGGGGGAAUAUUGCACAAUGGGCGGAAGCCUGAUGCAGCAGCGUCGCGUGCGGGAUGACGGCCUUCGGGUUGUAAACCGCUUUCGCCUGUGACGAAGCGUGGGUGACGGUAAUGGGUAAAGAAGCACCGGCUAACUACGUG
rnacentral:rRNA from 1 species